rnacentral:rRNA from 1 species
UAGGGAAUCUUCGGCAAUGGGGGCAACCCUGACCGAGCAACGCCGCGUGAGUGAAGAAGGGUUUCGGCUCGUAAAGCUCUGUUGUUAAAGAAGAACACGUAUGAGAGUAACUGUUCAUACGUUGACGGUAUUUAACCAGAAAGUCACGGCUAACUACGUGCUAG